AAUGAACGUUGGCGGCGUGGAUUAGGCAUGCAAGUCGAGCGAGAAGAGUUUGGUAGCUUGCUAUUGAACUCGGAAAGCGGCGAAAGGGAGAGUAACGCGUAGUUACGUGCCCCAGGGUUCGGAAUAGCCACGGGAAACUGUGGGUAAUGCCGAAUAACAUCUCCGGAUCAAAGGUGUGAUUCCGCCCUGGGAGCGGACUGCGUCCUACUAGCUAGUUGGCGGGGUAAUGGCCCACCAAGGCAACAAUGGGUAGCGGGUGUGAGAGCAUGACCCGUCUCACGGGGACUGAGACACUGCCCAGACCCCUACGGGUGGCUGCAGUCGGGAAUCUUCGGCAAUGGGCGAAAGCCUGACCGAGCGACGCCGCGUGCGGGAUGAAGGCCCUCGGGUUGUAAACCGCUGUCGUAGGGGAGGAAGGCUCCAUGAAGAAUGGGGUUUGACCUAUCCUAGGAGGAAGUACGGGCUAAGUUCGUGCCAGCAGCCGCCGUAA
rnacentral:rRNA from 1 species